rnacentral:rRNA from 1 species
UACGGGAGGCAGCAGUGGGGAAUAUUGCACAAUGGGCGCAAGCCUGAUGCAGCCAUGCCGCGUGUAUGAAAAAGGCCUUCGGGUUGUAAAGUACUUUCAGUCGUGAGGAAGGUGUUAAGGUUAAUAACCUUAGCAAUUGACGUUAGCGACAGAAGAAGCACCGGCUAACUCCGUGCCAGCAGCCGCGGUAAUACGGAGGGUGCGAGCGUUAAUCGGAAUUACUGGGCGUAAAGGGCACGCAGGCGGUUAAUUAAGUUGGAUGUGAAAUCCCCGGGCUUAACCUGGGAAUGGCAUUCAAGACUGGUUAGCUAGAGUCUUGUAGAGGGGGGUAGAAUUCCAUGUGUAGCGGUGAAAUGCGUAGAGAUGUGGAGGAAUACCGGUGGCGAAGGCGGCCCCUGGACAAAGACUGACGCUCAUGUGCGAAAGCGUGGGGAGCGAAACAGGGAUUAGAUACC